AAACAAGCUAUAAAGAGCACACAGUGGAUGCCUUGGUGCUAUCAGGCGAUGAAGGACGUGAUAAGCUGCGAUAAGCUUCGGUGAGCGGCAAAUACGCUUUGACCCGGAGAUUUCCGAAUGGGGUAACCUAAUGCAGGUAAUGCUGCAUUGUUGCUUCCUGAAUAAAAUAAGGAAGUAAACGCGAUACCCGCUGAAGUGAAACAUCUCAGUAAGCGGAGGAAUAGAAAGAGAAAUCGAUUCCGUAAGUAGCGGCGAGCGAAAGCGGAACAGCCCAAACCGGUGACUUAGGUUACCGGGGUUGUAGGGCCUCAAUAUGGUAUCUCAACG
rnacentral:rRNA from 1 species